CCUACGGGAGGCAGCAGUGAGGAAUAUUGGUCAAUGGGCGCGAGCCUGAACCAGCCAAGUCGCGUGAGGGAUGAAGGUUCUAUGGAUCGUAAACCUCUUUUAUAAGGGAAUAAAGUGUGGGACGUGUCCUAUUUUGUCUGUACCUUAUGAAUAAGGAUCGGCUAACUCCGUGCCAGCAGCCGCGGUAAUACGGAGGAUCCGAGCGUUAUCCGGAUUUAUUGGGUUUAAAGGGUGCGUAGGCGGCCUUUUAAGUCAGCGGUGAAAGUCUGUGGCUUAACCAUAGAAUUGCCGUUGAAACUGUGGGGCUUGAGUAUGUUUGAGGCAGGCGGAAUGCGUUGUGUAGCGGUGAAAUGCUUAGAUAUCACGCAGAACCCCGAUUGCGAAGGCAGCCUGCCAAGCCAUGACUGACGCUGAUGCACGAGAGCGUGGGGAGCAAACAGGAUUAGAUACCCGGGUAGUC
rnacentral:rRNA from 1 species